rnacentral:rRNA from 1 species
GCUGGCGGCAGGCCUAACACAUGCAAGUCGAGCGGUAACAUUCCUAGCUUGCUAGAAGAUGACGAGCGGCGGACGGGUGAGUAACGCGUAGAAAUCUACCUAGUAGUGGGGGAUAGCCCAGAGAAAUUUGGAUUAAUACCGCAUACGCCCUACGGGGGAAAGCGGGGGAUCUUCGGACCUCGUGCUAUUAGAUGAGUCUGCGUCGGAUUAGCUUGUUGGUGAGGUAAUGGCUCACCAAGGCGACGAUCCGUAGCUGGUCUGAGAGGAUGACCAGCCACACUGGAACUGAGACACGGUCCAGACUCCUACGGGAGGCAGCAGUGGGGAAUAUUGCACAAUGGGCGCAAGCCUGAUGCAGCCAUGCCGCGUGUGUGAAGAAGGCCUUAGGGUUGUAAAGCACUUUCAGCAGUGAGGAAAGGGGUGUCGUUAAUAGCGCCAUCCUGUGACGUUAACUGCAGAAGAAGGACCGGCUAACUCCGUG